rnacentral:rRNA from 1 species
UACAGAGGUCUCAAGCGUUGUUCGGAUUCAUUGGGCGUAAAGGGUGCGUAGGUGGCGGCGCGCGUGGGGGGUGAAAUCGCCCGGCUUAACUGGGCGGGGGCCUUCCAGACGGCGUGGCUUGAGCAGCGGAGGGGGACGUGGAAUUCCGGGUGGAGCGGUGAAAUGCGUAGAGAUCCGGAGGAACACCGACGGCGCAGGCAGCGUCCUGGCCGCUUGCUGACACUGAGGCACGAAAGCUGGGGGAGCAAACAGG